GAAAUGCGAUAAGUAAUGUGAAUUGCAGAAUUCAGUGAAUCAUCGAAUCUUUGAACGCACAUUGCGCCCCUUGGUAUUCCGGGGGGCAUGCCUGUUCGAGCGUCAUUAUAACCCUCAAGCCUGGCUUGGUGUUGGAGCCUGCUACCUAGCAGCUCUUAAAAUCAGUGGCGGUGCUGUCUGGCUCUAAGCGUAGUAAUUCUCUCGCUAUGGUGUCCAGGCGGUAUCUUGCCAACAACCCUAAUUUUCUAUGGUUGACCUCGGAUCAGGUAGGGAUACCCGCUGAACUUAA
rnacentral:misc_RNA from 1 species